GGAGGGCGGCGGGCGCGCCGGGCGCCAUCCCAGCGAGGGCUCCGCGCCUGCGCCGCUCCUGCCGCCGUGAGGGGAGCACCGGCGGCCGCCCCGCUUCACCGCCCGCCCCUGCCCCGCGCCCCUGCCCCGGGGAGCUCACUCCCAGCCAUGGCCCAGAUACUGCCCAUUCGCUUCCAGGAGCACUUCCAGCUCCAAAAUUUGGGUAUUAAUCCAGCAAACAUUGGAUUCAGCACCCUAACGAUGGAAUCUGACAAGUUCAUCUGCAUAAGGGAGAAAGUCGGAGAGCAGGCACAAGUAGUGAUAAUUGACAUGGGUGAUCCAACAACACCCAUCAGACGUCCAAUUUCUGCAGAAAGUGCCAUCAUGAAUCCAGCCUCUAAAGUAAUAGCACUAAAAGCCGGGAAAACACUUCAGAUCUUUAACAUUGAGAUGAAAAGUAAAAUGAAAGCCCACACAAUGGCAGAGGAAGUGAUCUUCUGGAAAUGGAUAUCUGUGAAUACAGUUGCCUUGGUGACAGAGACAGCAGUGUACCACUGGAGCAUGGAGGGAGAAUCACAACCCCAAAAGAUGUUUGAUAGACAUGCUAGUCUUGCAGGCUGCCAAAUCAUCAAUUACAGAACAGAUGAACACCAAAAAUGGCUGCUGCUGAUAGGAAUUUCAGCACAGCAAAAUCGCGUGGUUGGUGCAAUGCAGCUGUAUUCAGUUGACAGAAAAGUCUCCCAGCCUAUAGAAGGCCAUGCCGCAGCUUUUGCAGAAUUCAAAAUAGAGGGAAAUGCCAAACCUUCUACCCUCUUCUGUUUUGCUGUGAGGAGUCCUGCAGGAGGCAAGCUGCACAUAAUCGAAGUAGGUCAGCCAGCUACUGGAAAUCAGCCAUUUGUUAAGAAAGCUGUUGAUGUGUUUUUCCCACCUGAGGCACAAACAGACUUUCCUGUGGCAAUGCAGAUUGGAAUUAAGCAUGGUGUUAUUUAUCUGAUCACGAAAUAUGGAUAUAUCCACAUGUAUGAUUUGGAGUCUGGAGUGUGCAUCUACAUGAACCGUAUCAGUGCUGAUACUAUCUUUGUCACAGCUCCUCAUGAACCUACCUCAGGCAUUAUCGGUGUGAAUAAAAAAGGACAGGUGCUUUCUGUAUGUGUUGAGGAAGACAACAUAGUGAACUAUGCUACAAAUGUUCUCCAGAAUCCUGACUUGGGACUGCGAAUGGCUAUACGUAGUAAUCUCGCUGGGGCAGAGGAGUUAUUUGCCAGAAAAUUUAACACACUGUUUGCUCAAGGAAACUAUGCAGAUGCUGCUAAAGUAGCUGCAUCUGCACCAAAGGGAAUUCUACGUACCAGUGAUACAAUUAGGAAGUUCCAGAGUGUACCGGCUCAGCCUGGGCAGGCCUCUCCCCUGCUCCAAUACUUUGGAAUAUUGCUUGACCAGGGACAGCUGAACAAAUUUGAAUCUCUGGAGCUCUGUCGCCCCGUCCUGCAGCAGGGCCGGAAACAGCUUCUGGAGAAGUGGCUGAAGGAAGACAAGCUGGAGUGCUCUGAGGAGCUGGGAGACUUGGUGAAGACGGCUGACCCAACCCUUGCACUCAGUGUCUACCUUCGAGCUAAUGUGCCAAACAAAGUGAUUCAGUGCUUUGCUGAAACUGGUCAAUUCCAGAAAAUAGUGCUGUAUGCUAAGAAGGUUGGCUAUACCCCAGACUGGAUCUUCCUACUGAGAAGUGUGAUGAGAGUCAGUCCAGAACAAGGCCUGCAGUUCUCUCAGAUGCUGGUACAGGACGAGGAGCCACUGGCUAACAUUAACCAGAUUGUGGAUGUGUUCAUGGAGCACAGUCUUCUGCAGCAGUGCACAUCCUUUUUGUUGGAUGCCCUGAAAAACAACCGCCCUGCAGAAGGCCACCUUCAGACCCGUCUCCUGGAAAUGAAUUUGAUUCAUGCCCCGCAGGUUGCAGAUGCCAUUCUCGGAAACCAAAUGUUUACACACUAUGAUCGUGCUCACGUUGCCCAGCUGUGUGAAAAGGCAGGCUUGCUCCAGCGAGCUUUGGAACACUACACAGAUCUCUAUGAUAUUAAACGAGCAGUUGUUCAUACUCACCUCUUGAAUCCUGAGUGGCUUGUGAACUUCUUUGGCUCUCUCUCCGUUGAAGACUCCGUGGAGUGUUUGCGUGCCAUGCUGUCAGCCAACAUUAGACAAAACCUACAGCUGUGUGUGCAAGUUGCUUCUAAAUACCAUGAACAGCUUGGCACCCAGUCUCUUGUGGAGCUUUUUGAAUCUUUCAAAAGCUAUGAAGGACUGUUCUAUUUCUUGGGUUCCAUUGUAAACUUUAGCCAGGAUCCAGAUGUUCACUUCAAGUACAUCCAGGCAGCUUGCAAGACUGGUCAGAUAAAGGAAGUGGAAAGGAUCUGCCGUGAAAGUAACUGCUAUAACCCAGAACGAGUGAAGAACUUUCUGAAGGAGGCAAAGCUCACAGAUCAGCUUCCUCUGAUCAUUGUCUGCGAUCGGUUUGACUUUGUUCAUGACCUGGUGCUCUAUUUAUAUCGCAAUAAUCUGCAGAAGUAUAUCGAGAUCUACGUACAGAAGGUGAAUCCUAGCCGUAUACCAGCAGUGGUUGGAGGGCUUCUUGAUGUAGAUUGUUCUGAAGAUAUCAUCAAGAACUUGAUCAUGGUGGUGAGAGGGCAGUUCUCCACAGAUGAGCUAGUGGCUGAAGUGGAAAAAAGAAAUCGGCUUAAGUUGCUGUUGCCAUGGCUUGAAUCAAGGAUUCAUGAAGGCUGUGAAGAACCUGCGACACAUAAUGCUUUGGCCAAAAUCUACAUUGACAGUAAUAAUAAUCCAGAACGCUUCCUUCGUGAGAAUCCUUACUAUGACAGCCGUGUAGUUGGCAAAUAUUGUGAAAAGAGGGACCCUCAUCUGGCCUGCGUUGCUUAUGAGAGGGGACAGUGUGAUCUGGAACUCAUAAAGGUGUGCAAUGAGAACUCCCUGUUUAAGAGCGAGGCUCGUUAUCUGGUGCGCAGGAAGGACCCUGAGCUCUGGGCAAAUGUACUGGAAGAAAACAACCCAUUCAGGCGGCAGCUUAUUGACCAGGUUGUCCAAACAGCUUUAUCAGAGACACAGGAUCCAGAGGAAGUUUCUGUAACUGUGAAAGCUUUCAUGACUGCUGAUCUGCCAAAUGAACUGAUUGAGUUAUUGGAAAAAAUUGUCUUGGAUAAUUCUGUAUUCAGUGAACACAGGAAUCUCCAGAACCUGCUGAUCCUGACUGCCAUUAAGGCUGACCGCACGCGAGUGAUGGAAUACAUCAAUCGGCUGGAUAACUAUGAUGCCCCAGAUAUUGCAAACAUUGCCAUCAGUAAUGAGCUAUAUGAGGAAGCCUUUGCUAUAUUCAGAAAAUUCGAUGUCAAUACUUCAGCAAUUCAGGUGCUGAUUGAGCACAUUGGCAAUUUAGACCGUGCUUAUGAAUUUGCAGAGAGAUGUAAUGAACCAGCAGUGUGGAGCCAGCUGGCCAGAGCACAGCUCCAGAAGGACUUGGUGAAGGAAGCCAUUGACUCCUAUAUAAAGGCAGAUGAUCCAUCUGCCUACAUGGAAGUUGUUCAGGCAGCUAAUAGAAAUGAUAAUUGGGAGGACCUAGUCAAGUUCUUACAGAUGGCCAGGAAGAAGGCGAGAGAGUCUUAUGUAGAGACAGAACUUAUUUUUGCUUUGGCAAAAACAAAUCGUCUGUCAGAACUGGAGGAGUUUAUUAGUGGCCCUAAUAAUGCCCAUAUACAGCAGGUCGGUGAUCGCUGUUACGAAGAGGGGAUGUAUGAAGCAGCAAAACUUCUCUACAACAACGUAUCCAACUUUGCUCGCCUGGCAUCUACCUUGGUGCACCUUGGGGAGUAUCAGGCAGCUGUGGACAGUGGCCGCAAAGCCAAUAGCACAAGGACUUGGAAGGAGGUCUGCUUUGCCUGUGUGGAUGGAAAAGAAUUCCGCUUGGCACAGAUCUGUGGCUUACACAUUGUUAUCCAUGCCGAUGAACUUGAGGAGCUGAUCAGUUACUAUCAGGAUCGUGGCUACUUUGAAGAACUGAUUGCCCUUUUGGAAGCUGCUUUGGGCCUAGAGCGUGCGCAUAUGGGGAUGUUUACUGAACUUGCCAUCUUAUACUCCAAAUUCAAGCCUCAAAAAAUGAGGGAACAUCUGGAGCUUUUCUGGUCUAGAGUUAAUAUUCCAAAGGUGCUCAGAGCUGCAGAACAGGCUCAUCUCUGGGCAGAACUUGUAUUCCUCUAUGACAAGUACGAGGAGUAUGACAAUGCAAUAAUUACUAUGAUGAAUCAUCCCACUGAUGCCUGGAAAGAAGGCCAGUUUAAAGAUAUAAUUGCCAAGGUGGCCAAUGUGGAGCUGUACUACAAAGCCUUGCAAUUCUACUUAGACUACAAACCUCUGCUGAUCAAUGAUCUCCUACUUGUAUUAUCUCCACGACUGGAUCACACCAGGACAGUCAAUUUUUUCUCAAAGGUUAAUCAGCUACUUCUAGUAAAGCCUUAUCUGCGUUCAGUCCAGAACCACAACAACAAAGGAGUUAAUGAAGCUCUAAACAACCUUUUAACAGAAGAGGAAGAUUUCCAGGGUUUGAGAGCUUCCAUUGAUGCCUAUGACAACUUUGAUAACAUAACGUUGGCUCAGCGUCUGGAAAAGCAUGAACUAAUUGAAUUUAGGCGUAUUGCAGCAUACUUGUACAAGGGUAACAACCGCUGGAAACAGAGUGUGGAGCUGUGCAAGAAAGACCGUCUAUAUAAGGAUGCUAUGCAGUAUGCUGCAGAGUCCAAAGAUGCAGAGCUGGCUGAGAAGCUGCUCCAGUGGUUCUUGGAAGAAGGCAAGCAGGAGUGCUUUGCAGCCUGCCUUUUCACAUGCUAUGACUUACUGCACCCAGAUGUAGUCCUUGAGUUGGCAUGGAGACAUAACAUAAUGGACUUUGCAAUGCCUUACUUCAUCCAAGUGAUCAGAGAGUACCUUACCAAAGUUGAUGGACUGUUCUAUAAGGUGGAUAAACUUGAUGCUUCUGAAAGCCUAAGAAAAGAAGAGGAACAAGUAACUGAACCCACUCCAAUAGUAUUUGUAGAAAAGCAGACUGGCUUUCUAGCUCACGCAUUAUAAGACAUGUGCAGCCAAAACACCAUGGCUGUCUUGAAGUGUGAUGCUAUUUUAGAAGCCCUUCUGAAGAGGCAUUCAAGCACCUAGAAGUGGCUGGCCAGCAGUUGAUGUUAACAGCGGGCCCCAGUGCAGUACCUCCCCAGGCAAACUUCCCAUACGGAUACACAGCACCAGGAUUCACCCAGCCGCCUGUUUAUGGUUUCAAUAUGUAACUAGCUCUCUGACAGACCUUCACUGUCUCUGUUCUCUUCCUUCCCGUCCCUUUUUAACUUCUCCAAGAAGUGUACAAGGCACAGAUGACCUUCUGUUGGCUGAACACACUUGCAGCCUAGCUCAGUGAGGAGACUUCAGCAGGAUGCCUGUUACUGUUAUUUAUUGAUUAUUGUCCGGUUACAUUUCGACCUCUGAAAGGCAGCUUUUGUUAAUGACAUUGUGAGACUCUUGUCUGAAGUUAAGGCACUAUUUCACUAACUCAUAUAGCAAUAACUACUUGAGGCCAGGGGGAAGAGAGCAUAAUUUUCUUUGUUUUGAAAAGCCCGUUGAAGGCAGCUGGGAAAUUGCCUGGCACCAAGUUGUUAAAGCUUUAGCUGAAGCUACUGAAGUAGCAGGGUUGUUAACAAUUCAAUGAAACAUCUCUUUAAUAAUGAAUUGUUGAAAGCUUGUGUACAUCUGAUCACCCCAUUUUAUUUGCAUUCUUAUGUGCAAAAGAAAAUGGGCCUUUCUAAUACUUGUGCUCUGAAUGUUUAGAGGAAUAUUGGGAAAGUUUCCUUUUAUGGACAGUAAUGCUGUUGGAGUUCAAUGCUGUUGGGGUUCAAUACUGUUGGAGUCUGUUCUCUAUUUUCUGGAGUAGAUCUGAGACUUGAAGAAAAUAAAUCUCAUGCCAGAGA